GUCCUAGCGGUAAACGUUGUGCACUAGGUGUUGGGUUCCGACGAGGGGCUCAGUGCCGCAGCGAAAGCAUUAAGUGCACCACCUGGGGAGUACGGCCGCAAGGUUGAAACUCAAAGGAAUUGACGGGGGCCCGCACAAGCGGUGGAGUAUGUGGUUUAAUUCGACGCAACGCGAAGAACCUUACCUGGGCUUGACAUGCUUAGGACCGGAGUGGAAACAUUCCUUUCCCGCAAGGGGACCUUUGCACAGGUGCUGCAUGGCUGUCGU
rnacentral:rRNA from 1 species